rfam:Mobilicoccus pelagius NBRC 104925 DNA, contig: MOPEL113.
GGCUUUCUUCGCGGCGGAGCUCGACCGCCCCACCAGCAGGUAGUGGCCUACAUCGAUGCUCACCGCCACGACGUGGUCGAUGAGCGUGAGGUCGGGGUCGAGCCGAUCUGCGCGGUCCUGAAGGACGCCGGCGUGCAGAUCGCCCCG